UCUGUCUCUAGGAGAACCACCAUUCACAGAUGUGCCCUCCCAGAAAACUGCAGGAGCUGGGGAUUUUGCUGGGUUUGUUUGCUUUCAUUCCUUUCCCUUUGGCUGGAGAGAGAGACAAACGGACACAUGCUAGCAGUCUGAAGGAUGAGAAUGGAACUGGAGCCAGUUGGCCGGAGUGCAGGAUUCUCCCCUUUUUAAUUAAGUGUGGACUUGAAUUAUGAGAGGCCGCGGCUCCUGCUGGGCGGGGCUCUGCUGAGGGAAGGCAGUUUCUCUCUGCAGAUUAAGCAUCGUUUUCUCCACUUAGCCCCCCCCCCCAGCUCCCUGAGAGUGUCUAUAUUUGUUCUUGUCAGAAAUAAUGGACAACUAUAUGCUCAGUCAGCUAAGGCGGGGCUAGGGAACCCCUGGGCUGCCAAAACCUAGAGACUAUUCCUGGAAACUGUUUUUGGAGGGAAUAGUGGGGAGUGUGUGUGUGUGUGUGUGUGCGUGCGCACGCGCGCCCGUGCCCUUCUUAAAAAUUAAUUAGAAAUAUUUGAGCCAUAGUCUGAUGUAUCCCAGGCUCGGCUUAAUUUAAACCCACAAUGCAAUUGAGGAUGACCUUGAAUUUCUGAUCCUCCUGCCGCUCCAUCUUCAGAGUGCUGGGCUUGCAGGCUGCACCACCACAGCCAGUUUUUUUACUUAGUCCUAGCUAUGGAGCCCAGGCUCCUCAAGUACCUUGUCCACUCGACUGCCCCAGCUUUUACUGUCAAGGUUUUUGUUUGUUUGUUUGUUUGUUUGUUUGUUUGUUUGUUUUUGCUUUGUUUUGCUUUGCUUUGCUUCAUUUUUCCCCCAACAGAAACUCUUUCUUCUGUUAUUUCCAGCUUCUCCUAUUACAGGGCUUCUCCUAUAGCUCAAGGAGCUGGCUGGAGCUGCCAAUUGAUUUCCUAUUUGUCCCACUGGCCACCCGAGCCUAGAUUCAUCAAGCAGUUUAUAGCAAUGGUUGUUGAUUUACAGUUUGGGGCAGAGCUAAUCUCUUGGUCACCUCUUGGGGGAUACACAGGCUGAAUGCUAAGAAAACACAAUACCUAGCUGGGUGGAGAUCAGGUGUUCAUGACUUCCAUCUGACAUUCCAAAAUAAGAUGUUCCUAUGUGAGCUUUAAACCUCACUGUCUUCCUGAGCCUUUCCAGGUGUGUCAUCUUGUGUCAUUUCCCCUGUGCCCUCAACAGUGGCUAUGUGAACUUCCACGUUAUAUUGGAGCAUUCAAAACUUCAGAGAGCAAUUAGCCUGUGCCACCUUCAGUGGGAGAGGGGACUCUCCCUUUUCUCAUGGAAACUCUCAUUUCCAGACCACCAGGGUCUACGUCUCAUCCUUCAAGGUUAACGAUUCUAAGCCGGUAGAGAGGGUAGCAGGCUGUUUCUUAUCAUCAUUUUGUUUUUGAGAUAGGGUCUCAAAUAGCCCUGGCUGGCCUUGAAGUUGGUAUAUAUUGAGGAAUGACCCUGAACUUAAAAAAAAAAAAAAAAACAACAACAACAACAACAACAAAAAACAGGGUUUCUCUAUGUAGCCUUGGCUGUCCUAGACUUUUGUAAACCAGGCUGGCUUCAAACUCACUCCCACAGAUCCUGCCUACUGAGUGCUGGGAUUAAGGGCUCACGUCACCACGCCAGGUUAAAUAUUAUUUUUUUAAAUUUAAAUUUAAUGUGUACAUCUGCACGCAGGCCUUUAUUUCAUGUGCACACAGUGCCUGUGGGGGCUUGAAGAUGGCACUAGGUUCUCUGGAACUGGAAGUAGAGAUGUUGUGAACCACUGUGUGGGUACCAAGAAUGAACCUAGGGCCUCUGGAAGAACAGCCAGUGCUCUUAACUGCUGAAGCAUCUCUCCAGCCCUCAGCCUUGAACUUCCGAUUCUUCUGUCUCCACCACCUGAGUGUACUACUGCGGGUUCCCGCAGAACUGCGGGGUCAAACCCUGGGCCUCAUGCAUGCUAGAGAAACCUGUCAAUCAAGCUACAAACCCAGUCUGGCAAUAGCAAAAUUUAAACAAAACCCAAAACAGAACAAAGUAAAAACAAAACAAAACAAAAAACAAAACACCCCACAGCUUGGUGGUUUAAUUUUCUAAAUUAUUUUUAGAGACAGGGUCUCACUGUGUUGCCCACUUUGACCUGAUUCCCAGUCUUUAGCUACCUUGACCCUGCCUAACCCUCACCUGCUUAAUAUUCCCAAUUUCUGUUUCCCUCCCACAAGUCUGUCCCGAUUUUCUGCUAAGGAUACAUGUUAAGGUCCUGUUUAUUGUGUAUCCUCAUAGGGGGUACUUUGAUAUUUUCUUAAAUUGUGCAGCAGACAUGAAUGUCUCCCACAAAGGGAAAGCUGACAGGGAGGGGGGAAGCAUUUUGCUCUCUUAAAAAAAAUUGAGAGUGUAAAGUAUAUUUAAUUAAAAUGAUAAAUCUGAUUUUCAGUUUGGUUUUUACUACUGCUAAAACGAAUCCAUUUUAUGCACGUUCUGCAGAAGGCUGCUGCCAUCAAAGCUAAAGCACUAGAGCUACUUUCAGAUCUGUCUGUCUGUCUGUCUAUCUGACAAAGAAAUUGAGAGGCUCAGAUUGGGGACCUGAAGUCCCUGUAAUGAGUGAGCAGACAGGAUAAACACACCCACAGUGGUCGGAACUCUCUGCUGCUUCAGUUCCCUGGUGCAAGCCAGGGUGGGAAUUGCCAGGCUUGUUCUUUUGAAGGCUGCCCCUUUCUUGGGGAUGUACAAACAGCUCAGUUGGUCGACUGCAUACCCACAGUGCUGUCUACCAUCCCCAGCGCCUGUUCCAGCCUAAGCACCGCUAGCUCACAUUGGGCUUGGUGGUACACAUCUCUGAUCCCAGUAUUCAGAAGGUUAGGAAGGUCAUUAGUUCAAGACCAGCCUCAUAUACUCAGCAACUUCAAGGCCCACCUGGGUGGCAUGAAUCUGUCUCAAAAACAUUUUUUUUUUUAAAGUGGUCCCUUCUACUGUUCAGACUCCAGUUCCUCCCAGCCUCCCUGGGGAUGCUAACCACGCUCUGACAGUUCUCUCUGGCUUCUACAGCCCCACCACCUCCGUGGCUUCUCAGCCUUAGUCCAUGGCCACUUUUCUUCUGUCCUUUUAGUAACCAGACCUUUGUUCUUCUUGUCCUAGCAAGAGUUGAAAACAUGCUAUUGAGUUUGUAUUUCAUACUGUGCUUAAAGUUGCACGUGCAAAACCAUUUACUGAGUAGGUAAGACAUCCAUGUGGGACCAAAUUCAAAAGUCAUACAAUGGGGUAGACUUUUCCCUGUUCUUUUCCUUAAUAAACCCACCUUGAGGAGUGGAGAGAUGGUUCAGUAGUUAAGAGCACUAACUAUUCUUUCAAAAGAUCCUGAGUUCAAUUCCCUGCAACCACUUGGUGGCUCACAACCAUCUGUAAUGGGAUCUGAUGCCCUCUUAUGGUGAGUGUCUGAAGACAGCUACAGUGUACUCACAUAAAUAAAAUAAAUAAU
rnacentral:lncRNA from 1 species